UUAUUUUCAACUAAUACUACUCACCUCAAUAACUCGGAUACAACUAAAAUGACUGACUACUCAAGGACAUAGAACUAAAAUUACUUACUACAUAAGGACUUCAUAGGUUAAAUUGAUACAAGUAAGAAUACCGGCGAGGAGAAUAUAUUAGAAAAUAUUUCUUAUGUCAAGAAGAAUCUGAACUAGGAGAAAAUUAAUGAGGAUAUUGGUUCAUCAGGUUCGUCUUUGCUUCC
rnacentral:lncRNA from 1 species